rnacentral:rRNA from 1 species
AUACGGAAGGUCCGGGCGUUAUCCGGAUUUAUUGGGUUUAAAGGGAGCGCAGGCGGAGAUGCAAGCGUGACGUCAAAUUUCGGGGCUCAACCCCGUCUCGCGUCGCGAACUGCGUCCCUUGGUUGCGGGAAGGGGAGGCGGAACUCGUGGUGUAGCGGUGAAAUGCAUAGAUAUCACGAAGAACUCCGAUCGCGAAGGCAGCCUUCCGGCCCGUCAACGACGCUCAUGCUCGAAGGUGCGGGUAUCAAACAGGAUUAGAUACCCUGGUAGUCCGCACAGUAAACGAUGGACACCCGCGGUUUGGCCUGUAUGGCUGAGCCGCCAAGCGCAAGCGUUAAGUGUCACACCUGGGGAGUACGCCGGCAACGGUGAAACUCAAAGGAAUUGACGGGG